CAACCCCUAUUGCUAGUUACCAUCAUUAAGUUGGGGACUCUAGCGAGACUGCCAGUGAUAAACUGGAGGAAGGUGGGGAUGACGUCAAAUCAUCAUGCCCCUUAUGACCUGGGCUACAAACGUGAUACAAUGGCUGGAACAAAGGGAUGCGAAGCAGUGAUGUGGAGCGAAACCCAUAAAAACAGUCUCAGUUCGGAUUGAAGCCUGCAACUCGACUUCAUGAAGUCGGAAUCGCUAGUAAUCGCGGAUCAGAACGCCGCGGUGAAUACGUUCUCGGGGUUU
rnacentral:rRNA from 1 species